GCAGGGGGGUGGAGACCUAGGGGAGGGGUAGCAUUAGGAGAAACACCUAAUGUAGAUGACGAGGUGAUGGAUGCAGCAAAUCACCAUGGCACAUGUGAACCUAUGUAACAAACGUGCACAUUCUGCACAGGUACUCCAGAUCUUAAAGUAUAAUUUUUAAAAAGUCAAGUUGUAUUUUCAGAAAAAAGUACCAUGAUAAAAAUAGAUCUGUAAUAAAUUCACAUAUUGGACUUAUGUUGGACAUGAAUUUGGAAAUAGCCAGGAUUGGUAAAUGUAAGAAAAAACAAGAUUGAAUAUAUCAAAGAAUUGGAAUCUAUAAAUAAAAUGAGAAACCUAUAAUUCAGAGAAUUUUAUAUAUGAGAUUACUCACAAAUUAGGGUUGAAGGAUUAGUGAAUUUGAGGGUCACAUUAAAUACAAAGAGUGAAACAUAUAUAUACACACACACACAUACAUAUAUAUGCACAUAUAUAUAAAAUGCCUGACACAAGAACAUUAGAGGCACAUCAGGCAUGGUACAAGUCUAACAUACUAGUGUAACUGGAAUCAGAAUAGGAUGAGGGAGAGCAAAAUCCAAAAAGAAUAUGGCAAAAGUUAAACAUAUGUUUAUGAACCUGAAACUACUCCUUGGUAAAUAUCAAAGAGAAACAAAAUAUGUCCUUACAGAGGCUUACAUGCACAUGUUCAGCAGCCAUGUCAUUCUUAAGAGCCCCAAAGUGGAAACAAUCCAAAUAUUCAUCAGUGGGUGAAUGAAUAAACAAAAUGUCGGCUAGCCAUAAAAUGGAUUUCUAUUCUGUGAUAAAAGGGAAUGAACUACUAAUACAUAUUACAACAUAGUUGAACCUUUAAAACAUGCCAAAUGAGAAGUUGGACAUGAGGACACAUACAUAAUUCCAUUUAUAUGAAAUUUUCAGAAGAAAAGGCAAAUCCAUACAGACAGUAGCUUAAUCAUUUCCUGGGAUUGGGAGUGAGAAUAGAGUGUGACUGCAAAUGAGCAAAAUGGAUCUUUCCGGGUGAUGGAAGUGAUUUAAAGUAGAAUUGUGGUGAUGGUUGCACUAUUUUGAAUAUCCUAAAAACCAAUGGAUUGUACACUUAAAAUGGGUGGAUUUUAAAGUAAAAAUAUUUAAAUAAAACUUUGUUUAAAAAGAUGAAGUAAAGACACUUUGGCUAAGCAUGAUGGCUCAUUCCUGUAAUUUCAGCAUUUUGGGAGACUAAAGCGAACAGAUUGCUUGAGCCUAGAAGUUCAAGACCAACUGGGCAACAUGGCAAAACCCUAUUUCUACAAAAAUGCAAAAAAAGCCGGAUGUGGUGGUACUCCCCUGUAGUCCCAGCUACGUGGGAAGCUGAGUUGGGAGGACUGCUUAAGCACAGGAAGUGGAGGUUACAGUGAGCCAAGGUCAGACCACUGCACUCUAGUCUGAGCAACAGAGUGAGAGCUGGUCUCAAAUAAUAAUAAUAAAGUUAUGCUAAACUUAGGCAGAAUGAAAAUGAUCUCAGAUUGAAACACAGAAAUGCAAGAAAGAAUAAUGAUCAACAUGGGUAAAUUUAAGUGAAUAUUAUCACAAAAAACAGUAAUAAUCAUGUUUUAUAGGGUUUAAAAUGUCUGGAAGAUUAAAAUGCCUGACAAGAGGGUAAAAGGAGACAAACUGAGAUCUCUGAUUUCCUGCUACGUUUUCUGGCGCCUGAACAGGGACUUGAAAUGGCAGGCUUACUGUCUCCUUUACCUGUGGGACCAAGGCCCCGGGCUGCAGGAGACCUGCUACCCUAGGCACUGCUGGGAGAACUUCAGCCCGGACAGGAUACCGUCUCUGCCGUGCCCUAGCAUCCCUCCUGGACAGCGCAUCACACCUUUGGAAGGGGUUGCAGGACCAUCUCCAGGACCAACAUACUUCAGGAAUUACAGUAAGACAUUUAGGGAAAAGAAGAGCCCGCCCCAAGUGGGUGGAAGGAGAGUCUGAUUGACUCAAGGGAAGUGACUACUAAUCCAACCCAGAACGGCUGGGGGAACAGAGAGCACCUCACUGAUUUGGAUGAAACUCACAUCGCCACAGGCACACUGAACAGGGGUAACUCAUUAAACCAGUUUGUGGAGGAAAGUGGGAAAGGGGGAAGGAGUGUGGAAGUGUUUGAAAGAGACGGUUCUGGGAGGAGCCAACGUGGGGUGUGAAGUGGGGAGGUGCAGAUCCCUUAGCAUGGAUUGCAUGCUCCAAAGCGAGUGAGGGCUGAUUUAUUAUGGGCUGACCGCAUACCGCUGACAGGAGCGGCCCCACAGUUGCAGCUGACUGUGGUGGGAUUAAGGCACUCUACUAGUUAAAUGGCAGUCUGAAAACUCCCAUAACAGGAGACGGUGUUCAAUCCGAAGUGCAAGUCUGUGAGAGUCACCUUGUGUGGGAGGAUGGGAAGAUGGGAGGAAAAGAGUCAAAACCCACACCACUGGAGUGCAUGUUAGAGAAUUUUUAAAAGGCUUCUCAGGAGACUAUGGAGUUAAAUUGUCUCCUCAGAAGUGAAUGACCUUGUGUGAGUUAGAAUGGCCUUCCUUUGGGGUUGGAUGGCUGGCCAAGGGAACAAUAGGCAAACCACUGGUUGAGUGUUUAGGGUGGUGACCAGGGUCAGAGGACAGCCAGGGCACCCAGAUCAGUUUCCAUAUAUUAAUGCAUGGCAAAAUGUACCCCAGACACACCCUAAGUGGUUGCAAUGUUGCCUAGCUGCCUACCACAAAGCCUCAGGGCACAGACAGGGCCAAAGGAGGCCAAGAAACCUACAGACCCCCAAGCCCACAAGGGAAGAGAAGGACAAGAGGUACUAGAGAAACUGAUUUUACAGGCUCCCCCUGAAGAAAGAGAAGUUCUACCCUCUUCUGCUCCAAUAUACCCAUUCCCUAGCACACCUGAAGCAAGGUGAAGAGCAAGGAGUCAGACUCCAUGCUGUGCCAGGCCUAGAUGCAGGGGCUCAGGUAGAGUCAGACUUAGAGGGGAGCAAGAGCUCAAUGUCUCCCUCUCAUAAUGAAAGAAAAGAGAAAGAAAAAGUGAGUGACGUGGCCAGUUGUCUCCAAUCUGGCUGUACUUGAGCCAGAGAUGUCUCUUCAUGAAACACAGGCACCAGCCUAUGCAGGGCAGGUUCAUGGUGGGCAAAGAAUCUUUAUCCACCAGCCCUUUUCUACUACCGACCUUCUGAACUGGAAACAACACAUCCCCUCCUUCACGGAGAAGCCCUAAGAGCUCACUGAUCUAAUACAGUCCAUCUUUGCUACUCAUAAUCCUAAUUGGCUGGAUUGCCAGGAACUGCUGUUAAUGCUGUUUAAUACAGAAGAGCACAGGAGAAUAAACUAAGCAGCUCCCCAAUAGUUGGAAAAUAAUGCACCAGCAGGCACUAAUGAUGCCCUGCAAUAUGCAGUGCAACAUUUCCCUCAAUGUUGGGACCCCAAUGAACAGGAGGGGCUGCAAAACCUACAAACAUAUAGGACUGCACUGUUAAAUGGGAUGAAGGCAGGUGGGAAGAACAUAAUAAAUACAGGGAAAGUCUCAGAGGUCCACCAAAAACCUGAUGAAAGCCCAAGUGAAUUUUAUGAGAGGCUCUGUGAAGCAUACCAGCUUUAUACCCCAUUUGACCAAGAAGCCCCUGCCAACCAAUGUAUGGUUAAUGUGGCUUUUGUCAGCCAGGCACAAGGAGACAUUAGGUGGAAGCUAUAGAAGUGAGAAGGAUUUAAGGGCAAGAAUGCUACCGACCUCAUGCAGAUGGGCUACCAAGGUGUUUCACAAUUGAGAGGAAGAGGCUGAAAGAAAGGCAAGGUGAAAGGCAAAAGAAAAGGCGGACUUGUUAGUGGCUGCCUUAGUUGAGAGGGGAGCUGGUGUAACAAGAGGACAUGGAAGAGGGCAUGGGAGAGGUGUAGUCAGACUGGAGUCUGAAACUUGGCCUAGAUUAGAGAGAGAUCAAUGUGCAGUAAGCAAGGAGAAAGGACAUUGGGAAGCUGAGUGCCCAGAGAGAGUAGUAUAUGAAGAUCGGGCAUCCCCAUACAGCCACCGACUUUACCCCUAUGCAAUACCUAGACCAGCAGGCCCCAAGUAAUCAGGAUACAAGCUUAAUUGGCUUGGCUGGGGUAGACAGCUCUGAAGACUGAAACACAUCAGGCUCGAUUUCUCUAGGCCCCCAGGAGCCUAUGGUCGAGAUAAAGGUAGGGGGCCAAAAAACAGAUUUUAUGAUAGACAUGGGUGUUCAGCAUUCGGUGGUGACAAAACUGGUGGGGCCACAGUCUAAAACUUAUACCACCAUUAGUGGGGCCACAGGAGUGUCAGAAAACACAUCUUCCAGUCAAAAAGAUGUGUUAUUGGAGGGUGGGAGGUCCAGCAUGAGUUCCUAUAUCUCCCCAGCUGCUCUGUCCCUUUGUUACGAAGGGAUUUGCUUCAAAAGUUUCAAGCACAGAUAUCCUUUAAACCAGAGAGACACAUGACUCUAGAUUUUAACCACCCAACAGCUAUGGUAUUAGCCCUCCCAGUACCACAAGCUGAAGAAUGGCAGCUAUUUGCUAAGGAUAUGGAAGGAUCCAUCAAGCAGUCCUGGAGGCUAGUGGAAGAAGUCAUAUUGUCAGAGCUAAUUAGCAAAUUCCCACAAGUAUGAGCUGAAGAUAAUCCACCUGGGCUAGCCAUAAACCAUGGUGGUAGCAGAACUAAAAACAGGAGCUAUCCCAGUCCGGCUGCACUAGUACCCUAUGCCCCAGAGGCUGUCCUAGGCAUAGAAAAGCAUCUAGAAUGGCUCAGAAAACAUGGCAUUCUGGUGCCAUGUCAGUCACCUUGGAAUACUCCGCUCUUACUGGUGAAAAAGCCCCUACCUGACGAUGGGAUAUCUACCUCCCAUGAUUAUAGGCCAGCAUAGGACUUACGAGCUGUAAAGCAGGCUACAUUAACUAUUCACCCAGUAGUGCCAAACCCAUACACUCUAUUCUCACUAAUCCCCUCCAAUUCAGCAUGGUUCAGUUUUAGACCUAAAAGAUGCCUUCUUUUGCCUUCAUCUAGCACCAGUCAGUCAACCCUUAUUUGCUUUUCAAUGGGGAAGUUUCCAACUUACUUGGACCAGGCAUCCCCAAGGACACUGAACUCCCCCAUGAUCUUCAGUGAGGCCCUAGCAUCUGACCUUAAUGCCUACACUCCACCAAAUAAAGACUGUGUCCGACUGCAGUAUGUGUAUGAUCUUCUUUUAGCAGCCCCCACUUUAGAAGAUUGUCACAAAGGAACCCAAGACUUCCUCCACCUUCUACGGAAGACAGGGUAUAAAGUAUCCAGAAACAAAGCCCAGAUUUGUUGUGGGAGCAUCACAUACUUGCCAAGAGCAGAGUAUGCUAGGUAGUGCACACGAGGAAGCUGUGUAGGAUUCUAACCGCAACCUGCCAACAAGUAAGAGAGAUCCUAGGGGCAGCAGAGUUUUGCCUAUGGCAAAACUCUAUGAAGCCACCAAAGCAGUGGGGGAGGUGGGGGGAGGAACCCGUCAUCUGGGGACCUGAUCGGAAAAAAAAGCAUUUAAUGCAAUCACAGCAGCUCUAGUUAGGGCCCCCGCCUUAGGACUACCACACAUAACUAAGCCCUUCUUCCCAUACAUUCAUGAGUGAAAGGGAAUGGUUAUCAGGAUCUUAACUCAGAUUCCAGGAUCAUGGCACCGCCCAAUAGCCUACCCAUCUAAGCAACUGGACUCAGUAGCUCAGGGAUGGCCACCCUGCUUUAAUGCCCUUGCCGCUGCAGCCAUGCUCAUACAGGAAGCUAAAAACAGACCUUAGAACAGCAGUUAACCGUAUGGGUGCCACAGUCUGUCCUAAUGCUAAUGGAUCAAAGAGGGCAUCACUGGCUGUUAAAUCCUAGAAUGACCCAACACCAAAGACUCUUAUGUGAAAACCUCCGUAUAACUUUAGAAACUGUAAACACUCUUAACCUUGCUACCUUGCUCCCACUACAGCCAGGAGCUCCCCUUCAUGACUAUAUAGAAACAGUAGAUGGAGUUUUCUCCAGCAGGAAAAAAUCUCACAAAUCGUCUCCUCCAAUAGGCUGAUGUUGAAUACUUUACAGAUGGUAGCAGCUUUGUAACAGAAGGAUUCAGGCAGGCUGGAUAUGCAGUUGUAACUUUAGUUUCAAUCGUAGAGGCCCAAAGCCUGCAGGAACAUCAGCCCAGAAAGGAGAACUAAUACCCUUAGCAAGAGCACUGUUGCUAGCUAAGGGUAAAAAAGCCAACAUAAGGCCGGGCGCGGUGGCUCAACCCUGUAAUCCCAGCACUUUGGGAGGCCGAGGCGGGUGGAUCACGAGGUCAAGAGAUCGAGACCACCCUGGUCAACAUGGUGAAACCCCAUCUCUACUAAAUAUACAAAAAGUCCGCUGGGCAUGGUGGCGCGUCCCUGUAAUCCCAGCUACUCAGGAGGCUGAGGCAGGAGAAUUGCCUGAACCCAGGAGGCUGAGGUUGUGGUGAGCCGAGAUUGUGCCAUUGCACUCCAGCCUGGGUAACAAGAGUGAAACUCCGUCUCAAAAAAAAAAAAAAAAAAAAAAAGCCAACAUAUGGGCCGGGUGCGGUGGCUCACACCUGUAAUCCCAGCACUUUGGGAGGCCGAGGUGGGUGGAUCAUGAGGUCAAGAGAUCGAGACCAUCCUGGUCAACAUGUUGAAACCACAUCUCUACUAAAAAUACAAAAAAUUAGCUGGGCAUGGUGGCGCGUGCCUGUAGUCCCAGCUACUCAGGAGGCUGAGGCAGGAGAAUUGCCUGAACCCAGGAGGCAGAGGUUGUGGUGAGCCGAGAUUGCAUCAUUGCACUCCAGCCUUGGUAACAACAGUGAAACUCCGUCUCAAAAAAAAAAAAAAAGCCAA